AAGUCCCCUAAUUUUUGUAGAGGACGAAAAGCAAGUGCCAAGGACUCAGUUUUUUUUGGGGCUCCUCUCUCUGAUCAAUUCAAGUCAAAGCUUCAGUCCUUUGGUGUUCAGGAACAAGGUUAUACUACAGUCUGGACAGUUUAAAGGAGAAUUGAGAUUUUGGUAAUUUUCGUUGUUGAUGCCAGUGGCAGUAUGACAUUAAACCGUAUGCAAAAUGCUAAAGGUGCAGCAUUGAAACUAUUGGCAGAAAGCUAUACUAGAAGAGAUCAGGAGAAAUAUUGAGGUCUCUAUGGUUAUUUCGGAUUCUAACCCUUGCUAUGAAGACGCACAUAUGAGGCUUGCUGUAGUACUCUUAAUGUUGCUAUUGAGUCCAACUGAGUGUUAUGUUUGUUUCCUGUUCUUUUCUUUCUUGUCAUGAUCAUGUUCAUGCCUGAACAUUUGAAAGAUGGGAAAUAAGUGGACUAUGGUUGUGCUACUAUUUUGUUUAUAGACGAACUUAAUACUCUUCAAGUUUAUCAAGUAAUUAAAUAGAUUAUCCUUAAUAAU